rnacentral:rRNA from 1 species
UUAGUGGCGGACGGGUGAGUAACGCGUGGAAAACCUGCCGUAUACUGGGGGAUAACACUUAGAAAUAGGUGCUAAUACCGCAUAAGCGCACAGCUUCGCAUGAAGCGGUGUGAAAAACUCUGGUGGUAUACGAUGGUUCCGCGUCUGAUUAGCUAGUUGGUGGGGUAAUGGCCUACCAAGGCAACGACCAGUAGCCGGCCUGAGAGGGUGAACGGCCACAUUGGGACUGAGACACGGCCCAAACUCCUACGGAAGGCAGCAG